rnacentral:lncRNA from 1 species
GCCACAAUCAUAAUUGUGGUAUAUAGUUUUAAAAAUGUGUUCGAUGACUCCACCUACCAAACAAAAUGGCAGACAUGGCUAAAAUUAGAACAUAGUGGUAAAAUGCAGUUUUUGCUUUAUAUCUUUGAAACUAAGACAUUUAGGGCAAAUCUUUCAAGAUUUAAAUGUCCAUCAGAAUAAGAUCUAUCCCCUCACAAAUUUUCAGACGAAUCAGACAACCUGUUGUUGGGUUGCCGCCCCUGAAU